CAUCUUUGCAUUUUCGGAUUCUUUGAGUGCAUCUGUAAUUGAAAAGUUCAAUGGAAGUUCAAAUGACUUCCUCCACAGCGUUUGUUGAACCAUCUGUGCCAUGCCUCCACGAGAUUGUUGGUGCGGUUGGGCAUUUGGAAUACGCUAAAUCCUUCUGGAGUAAUGGUGUCGAUCCAGUAGCCGUAGUAAUAGUCCAUAAGACGUUUGAUCGCCGCCUGGAUCUCGACCGAUUCUCUCCUAAGAUCUUCUCUUUUACCUGGAAGCCUGCUAAUAUUGCAUCUGCUGGUAGGAGGGCCAGAGCAAUCAUUUCCUUGACGAUACGACAGACAGUAGGUUUACUCCGGUAUGCGCCCGUAAGGCCAUAUUUCUGGACUCUCCUCCAAAUUGCCU